GCGUGGAUAAGACAUGCAAGUCGAACGAGAGAAUUGCUAGCUUGCUAAUAAUUCUCUAGUGGCGCACGGGUGAGUAACACGUGAGUAACCUGCCCCCGAGAGCGGGAUAGCCCUGGGAAACUGGGAUUAAUACCGCAUAGAAUCGCAAGAUUAAAGCAGCAAUGCGCUUGGGGAUGGGCUCGCGGCCUAUUAGUUAGUUGGUGAGGUAACGGCUCACCAAGGCGAUGACGGGUAGCCGGUCUGAGAGGAUGUCCGGCCACACUGGAACUGAGACACGGUCCAGACACCUACGGGUGGCAGCAGUCGAGAAUCAUUCACAAUGGGGGAAACCCUGAUGGUGCGACGCCGCGUGGGGGAAUGAAGGUCUUCGGAUUGUAAACCCCUGUCAUGUGGGAGCAAAUUAAAAAGAUAGUACCACAAGAGGAAGGGACGGCUAACUCUGUGCCAGCAGCCGCGGUAAUACAGAGGUCUCAAGCGUUGUUCGGAAUCACUGGGCGUAAAGCGUGCGUAGGCUGUUUCGUAAGUCGUGUGUGAAAGGCGCGGGCUCAACCCGCGGACGGCACAUGAUACUGCGAGACUAGAGUAAUGGAGGGGGAACCGGAAUUCUCGGUGUAGCAGUGAAAUGCGUAGAUAUCGAGAGGAACACUCGUGGCGAAGGCGGGUUCCUGGACAUUAACUGACGCUGAGGCACGAAGGCCAGGGGAGCGAAA
rnacentral:rRNA from 1 species